rnacentral:rRNA from 1 species
UAAUACGGAGGGUGCAAGCGUUGUUCGGAAUUACUGGGCGUAAAGCGUGCGUAGGCGGCCGGAUAAGUCGAAUGUGAAAGCCCGGGGCUCAACCCCGGAACUGCAUCCGAUACUGUUCGGCUUGAGUAUGGGAGAGGGAAGCGGAAUUCCUGGUGUAGCGGUGAAAUGCGUAGAUAUCAGGAGGAACACCCGUGGCGAAAGCGGCUUCCUGGCCCAUUACUGACGCUGAGGCACGAGAGCGUGGGGAGCAAACAGGAUUAGAUACCCUGGUAGUCCACGCCGUAAACGAUGAGUGCUAGGUGUUGGAGGUGUUGACCCCUUCAGUGCCGCCGCUAACGCAUUAAGCACUCCGCCUGGGGAGUACGGUCGCAAGACUA